rnacentral:rRNA from 1 species
ACGCUGGCGGCGUGCCUAAUACAUGCAAGUAGAACGCUGAAGGAGGAGCUUGCUUCUCCGGAUGAGUUGCGAACGGGUGAGUAACGCGUAGGUAACCUGCCUGGUAGCGGGGGAUAACUAUUGGAAACGAUAGCUAAUACCGCAUAAGAGUAGAUGUUGCAUGACAUUUGCUUAAAAGGUGCAAUUGCAUCACUACCAGAUGGACCUGCGUUGUAUUAGCUAGUUGGUGGGGUAACGGCUCACCAAGGCGACGAUACAUAGCCGACCUGAGAGGGUGAUCGGCCACACUGGGGCUGAGACACGGCCCAGACUCCUACGGGAGGCAGCAGUAGGGAAUCUUCGGCAAUGGACGGAAGUCUGACCGAGCAACGCCGCGUGAGUGAAGAAGGUUUUCGGAUCGUAAAGCUCUGUUGUAAGAGAAGAACGAGUGUGAGAGUGGAAAGUUCACACUGUGACGGUAUCUUACCAGAAAGGGACGGCUAACUACGUGCCAGCAGCCGCGGUAAUACGUAGGUCCCGAGCGUUGUCCGGAUUUAUUGGGCGUAAAGCGAGCGCAGGCGGUUAGAUAAGUCUGAAGUUAAAGGCUGUGGCUUAACCAUAGUACGCUUUGGAAACUGUUUAACUUGAGUGCAAGAGGGGAGAGUGGAAUUCCAUGUGUAGCGGUGAAACGCGUAGAUAUAUGGAGGAACACCGGUGGCGAAAGCGGCUCUCUGGCUUGUAACUGACGCUGAGGCUCGAAAGCGUGGGGAGCAAACAGGAUUAGAUACCCUGGUAGUCCACGCCGUAAACGAUGAGUGCUAGGUGUUAGACCCUUUCCGGGGUUUAGUGCCGCAGCUAACGCAUUAAGCACUCCGCCUGGGGAGUACGACCGCAAGGUUGAAACUCAAAGGAAUUGACGGGGGCCCGCACAAGCGGU